GACGAACGCUGGCGGCGUGCUUAACACAUGCAAGUCGAGCGGUAAGGCCCUUUCGGGGGUACACGAGCGGCGAACGGGUGAGUAACACGUGGGUUACCUGCCCUCAGCUCUGGGAUAAGCCCGGGAAACUGGGUCUAAUACCGGAUAUGACUCCAUGACGCAUGUUGCGGGGUGAAAGCCUUGUGCGGCUGAGGAUGGGCCCGCGGCCUA
rnacentral:rRNA from 1 species